GGAUUAGCGGCGAACGGGUGAGGAACACGUGAGGAAUCUGCCUUCAACACUGGGAUAACUCCGGGAAACCGGGGCUAAUACCGGAUACGAGACCUGCAGGCAUCUGCGGGUCUGGAAAGUUUUUCGGUUGAAGAUGACCUCGCGGCCUAUCAGCUUGUUGGUGAGGUAAUGGCUCACCAAGGCGACGACGGGUAGCCGGCCUGAGAGGGCGACCGGCCACACUGGGACUGAGACACGGCCCAGACUCCUACGGGAGGCAGCAGUGGGGAAUAUUGGGCAAUGGAGGGAACUCUGACCCAGCGACGCCGCGUGCGGGAUGAAGGCCUUCGGGUUGUAAACCGCUUUCAGCAAGGAAGAAGCGAAAGUGACGGUACUUGCAGAAGAAGCACCGGCUAACUAUGUGCCAGCAGCCGCGGUAAUACAUAGGGUGCAAGCGUUGUCCGGAAUUAUUGGGCGUAAAGAGCUCGUAGGUGGUUCGUCACGUCGGAUGUGAAAAUCUGGGGCUUAACCC
rnacentral:rRNA from 1 species